rnacentral:rRNA from 1 species
CGUGUAGGCGGCCUGGUAAGUCAGAUGUGAAAGCCCUUGGCUUAACCAAGGAAGGGCAUUUGAAACUGCUGGGCUUGAGUACGGGAGGGGGAAGCGGAAUUCCCGGUGUAGAGGUGAAAUUCGUAGAUAUCGGGAGGAACACCGGUGGCGAAGGCGGCUUCCUGGACCGAUACUGACGCUGAGACGCGAAAGCGUGGGGAGCAAACAGGAUUAGAUACCCUGGUAGUCCACGCCAUAAACGUUGGGCACUAGGUGUUGCGGGUAUUGACCCCUGCAGUGCCGAAGCUAACGCAUUAAGUGCCCCGCCUGGGGAGUACGGUCGCAAGGCUAAA